rnacentral:lncRNA from 1 species
UCAAGUGUAUGUAGCUCCUCCCCAUUGGUUGUCACGUUUCUCAUCCUCUCCUUUGCAGUUUUUUAUUCUUUCCUUUUUUAUUUGAAAUUGAGAAAAGGGUCCAAGUGAAAUGAGGAGUAUUGAUUGAGAGUUAUUGAUUACUUGAAUCCAAUGGCCAAUUACAUUAGCUACUAUAGCACAUUUUUAGGGUUUUGAUUUUUUUAAUUAAUCCCCAAUCUACCCUUCGAUAUUUUGAGAUAAAAA